rnacentral:misc_RNA from 1 species
AACUUUUAGCAAUGGAUCUCUUGGCUCUCGCAACGAUGAAGGACGCAGCGAAAUGCGAUAAGUAAUGUGAAUUGCAGAUUUUCAGUGAAUCAUCGAAUCUUUGAACGCACCUUGCGCCCCUUGGUAUUCCGAGGGGCAUGCCUGUUUGAGUGUCAUCAAAUCCUCAACCCCCUCCGAUUUGUUUCGGUGGGGAUUGGACUUGGAGCGUGCUGGCGAAGGUCGGCUCCUCUUUAAAUGCAUCAGCGGAGAAAAUGCCUUUUGCGCCUCUGGCCGUUCAGCGUGAUAAUGACGUUGCGCUGCGGUCGAGCUCAAGGUCCGCUUCCAAAGGUCCUCGGACGAACGUAAACAUGACUUUUGACCUCAAAUCAGGUAGGACUACCCGCUGAACUUAAGCAUAUCAAUAAGCGGAGGCU